UACGGAGGGUGCGAGCGUUAUCCGGAUUUACUGGGUUUAAAGGGUGUGUAGGCGGGCUGGUAAGUCAGGGGUGAAAUCCCGGAGCUCAACUCCGGAACUGCCUUUGAUACUACUGGUCUUGAAUAUUGUUGAGGUGGGCGGAAUGUGUCAUGUAGCGGUGAAAUGCAUAGAUAUGACACAGAACACCGAUUGCGAGGGCAGCUCACUGGGCAAUGAUUGACGCUGAGGCACGAAAGCGUGGGGAUCAAACAGG
rnacentral:rRNA from 1 species